UACGGAGGAUGCGAGCGUUAUCCGGAUUUAUUGGGUUUAAAGGGAGCGCAGACGGGUCGUUAAGUCAGCUGUGAAAGUUUGGGGCUCAACCUUAAAAUUGCAGUUGAUACUGGCGUCCUUGAGUGCGGUUGAGGUGUGCGGAAUUCGUGGUGUAGCGGUGAAAUGCUUAGAUAUCACGAAGAACUCCGAUUGCGAAGGCAGCACACUAAUCCGUAACUGACGUUCAUGCUCGAAGGUGUGGGUAUCAAACAGG
rnacentral:rRNA from 1 species